rnacentral:lncRNA from 1 species
GUACAUGCUUGGAGCAUGUGUCAACUAUUUUUUUAAAUUCAAGAAGAAAGUUGAUAGCUAAAAACAGUAUACAAUGAAUAAUGUGUAAUCAUAUGGUGAUAAAUAAAAGGUGUUUUAUUUAUACUUAUAUGUUCUGAGACCAUAUUGGAUUCGAUUAUUAUUGUGUUUCACUUUGCAUGUUUUGACUUCCAGAAUAACUAGGUCAUUGUUCUGAUUGACUAAGUUAUUCAAACCAUCCACAGUCGGUCAUAUGUUGGAAGUAGAUAUGAAUUAAGACUGUCAUGGGUUGGCUUGUAGAGGUCUAAGGUGUUGGACAAAGGGCUACAACACUCAUGAGUGCUCAUAAGUUCUGAGUAUUGGAUUCAACCCGCGCUCAUUGGAAUCACUUCAUGGAUUUUAUCACGAGUGAUCAUGAGACGAUAAUAUCUUAUAUUCUUCAAACCUAGAGAUAUGAGUUGUUACUAUGAGUUGAUAGUACAUUGAUUGCACGAAAACGCAUUUGGUAACUCGGUGCUAUAAAACGUGCCUUUGUGUAUGAUUCAACAAGUAGUAGAACAAGCCAUAUGAGUCGAAGUUUAUCCGUUCCUUUUACCUUCGGGAUAAAAGCGAUAUCUGUGGGCCCCUCGAUGAUUUGAUGAUGACAAAUGGAAGUGCUCGGCCGGGCCAGGACUGAUUUGAUUUGUUCAAUUAGUCAGUUGUCAUAAAUCGGAAAUCGGGAAACAACAAAUGGACAGAGAGAAUGAUUAUAAUCCAUGUCUCAGUCCAUAUGAUAUCUAGAAUGGAGGAAUAUAUGAUCCCUUAUCUAAUGGACAAGUCAUUGACAAAGGUCAGAGUUCAUCUACAAGGUCAGAGUUCGACAGAAGCUUUUGAGAGCUACGAUUGCCAGUUGGUUCUUGAAGUCAUACGCAAUAAUAGUUUUAGACUUAUCCAAGUGGGAGACUGUUGGAUUAAUGUCUAAGUCCAUAACUAUAAUUGGUAAGACUUGACCCGACCCGGCAUGGUCCAUUUGGGUUGAAUGGCAUCAUGCACUUGGAUAGACAAAAUGAGAGAAAUAAGACACUUAUGGUUAUUAAUAUAUUAUAAGUUCUCGUAUAUUAAUAAUAAGAAUAAUAAGAUUAUUUAAUUAGUAUUGAUCAAGAAUUAAUAUAGGAUUAAUUAAGUGAUCAAAAGAAGACUAAUUAAAUAUAUGGGUUGAUUGUGCAAAUCAUCCAUACUUAUAUAGUGGGCUAAUGCUCCAUGGAUUAUUUAGUUGGGCUAAAACCCAUAUGAUGCUCCAUGGUGUAUUUGUACCCAUGGAUCAUGGAAAUGAAAGGCCAUGACAAUUAGGAUUUACAUGGUGUAACCUUACCUAUAUAUGCAUCUUAUUCUUGACCAAAAUCGGCCACUAGAGAGAGUAAGAAAGGGCUAGCCGAUUUUCAUGAAGUGUGAAGUUCUCUCAAGUCAUUACAUUUGUAUUUGGUGUUGUGUGAACCAUUUGAGGUGUCACACUUGGGGCACUAGGCACUCAAGCUUCAUGAAGACUUUCUACAUCAAAGAGGUAUGUAUUCUAUUUAUAUUGUUUUGUAUGCUAGAUUAGGAUAUAACCUUGGAUGUUCAUAUUUGCAUGUAUAUUAAAGAAAACAUAGAUCCAAGGUAUUUAGGGUUGCAUGUACACUUAGGAGUGUUAGAAUGCUCAAAACCCAACACUCUUAUGGUUUGUCUGUCCAUAUAUCUUCACCUUUUUCCUUAUGAAGUAAGAACCUUUCAUUCUAACUUUCUAGUUACCAUACUCUUCAACAACUAGCAGUGGGGCAUGAGAAGGGCAACCCAUGCUAUUUGCUAUUUGCAUUGAAAACAUUUGUUGUGAAUUAGGAGCAACCAUUGAAGUUAAGAUAUUAGAGCUGAAGUGGUAUAUAGAAGAACUUUUAUCCUAAAAAAAAUGACUGAAAUACCAAGGUAUUUUUAAAUCAACUAUAAUAUGUUCUUUUGGAUUCAAAGGAUAACCAUUCAAGCUCUAAAACCAAUUGUGAGAACAAGUAAUAAAUGCGGAAGAAAAAGGUUUGAAAACCCAAACCUUGAGUUAAUCUUUAAGAUCAUCGCAUGCUCUUAAUUUCCAUAUCCGGUCGGCAACAGACCAUAGAUCCGAUCAAACGAUAGCAUAAAGCAUAACAAAUCAUUUAGCACGUAAAACCAAUUUAGGCAUCAUUCCUAAAAUAAGCUAGUGCUUGUGUCUAUUAAGGUGUAUUACCUAAAUCUAUUAGACACACUCCUUACAAUCAGCUUAGCAUUCUAAGUUUAAAUCUAGAAAUAAAUCCAUAUUCCUAGUUCCCUUAAACUAAUGCUCUGAUACCAACUGUGACAUUCCCAUUUUCACGGACAGAAAAGACCGAUUUUGUUUAUGCUUUAUAAAAAUCAGAGUGUAUCUUUUAAUAAAAAUGUUGCGGGAUUUGUUCCCAGAAAAAAACGAUAAAUACGUUAUCAAAACAUUUCCAAAGUAACGUAUUUUAUUCAUUUUAAAACAUUUGGGAUGUCAUCGUCAAUACAGAAACAUAAGCAUAAACAGAACUUACAUUCAUUUACACUAGUGAUCUAUAUCUCCUUAAUCUCUCAGUGUAAGGUAACUUCACAUCGUCAGCUGUGAUAUAAAUAAACUGAGUGGGUCAGGUUGGGAAACUUGGUGAGUACAUAGGGUUUUCAACCCACAAUAAUAUAAUUAUUAUGUUUAAACAAUCAAACCAUCAACCCAAUUACCCAUCCCCAUUAUCUUCUUUACUCAUAAGGAUCUACCCUAAGAAUCAGUUAUUUCUCGUUCAUGCAUUCCAAAGGAUCAUCCCAAGGAAUCGACACGAAGUCCAUCGUUGCCACAGUUUACACAAUGACAACUAAGUCUACAUAGUCGCCAGGGUUUAGGCAUCAAGUCUGCAUGAUCGCCAAGGUUUACACAACGGGAACUAAGUCUACAUAAACGACAGGGUUUAGGCAUCAAGUCUGCAUGAUCACCAAGUGUUAGGCUCAAACUCUGCAUGGUCACCAAGGUUUAGAGUACACCGGGUGAACACAUCGUUCAGAACACCUACAGGUUGUGAGCCUGCUAGUGUUCCACUGGACUGUCUAGAAUAGUCUGUGGUUGUCAUCUAUACUCUGCUAGAUGAUGGGGCCAGCAUUUGGGAACAAGGAUUCUCACAUCGUCCCCCUCUCACCCUUACCUCAUGGUCUAUAUCACCUCUCAAAUCAUCAUCCAACUCAUAUAUCAUCUACCCAUGUUUUACCCAACAUAUUAUGUAGAUAUAAAUACAUAGACAGUUUAAAUCAUAUAAAACUUGUAUAAAAUCGUACAUCCAGCAUAGAUAACAAUUAUAUACAUAAUAUGCACACAUAACACGUAGUUUUUAUAAAAUACUUCAUAGCUAUGUGUAAGAUGAAAGGGACCAUGCACUCACUUGAUAAGGUGGUGACUCGGCACUCGGACAGCACUUCGUUAACUGAAAACAAUUUCCUUCGAUGAAACCUAGUAUCAUUACCACUAAGGUUUAGUUUAAUAUUCACCGAGACUAAUUAAUAGUCUGGCUAUUAUUAUUAUUAUUAUUAUUAUUAUUAUUAUUAUAUAAGCGUUAAACAACACUAUAUAACUCAAAAUAAUAGCCCAAAUAAUUAUUUUAAGGUCCUAAUAACAUUACUAUAAUUAAAUAGAAGCUAUAUUAAAAAUAGCAUAGGUGCAACUCACUUACAACAGGUUUUAUAGAAAACCGGGCUUCGCAUGGAGCAGCGUUUCCGAACUGAAAGACCCUUUUUCUCAGGACUCCGGGAGCCUCGGGGCUUCCUUUGGGUGCUAAGGAUCAUACGCUAUCUCCUCACUCACUAACGCUAGCGAAAAGUGAUCGAAUAAAGCAUUUGUUCGUACAAUACGCUCUCGAACCUCAUGCUCUAUCACGCGUGGAAAAGAAGCUGACUCAAAGAAAUCGGUCACAAAGCUUAUUUUUUCGGGUCAAGAAGCUCUCGAAAAGACCUGAUCCUUCCCUAAAAACCACUAAACACAAGGUGGUUUCGCCGUAUCCUCUGAGAACGUUAUAAGAGAAAGACGGCAAAACAAUGCUCACACACGCAUUUCACGCUUCAAGAACCAAUAAAUGUGGGACCGUUCACAUGUUUAAAGCUAAACUAUUUGAAGUCCAGACGUAGCAUGGUACUCUUUCGACCACUAUGUUAAUGUUAAUAUUGAGAUGGUUUCAAAAUAAAGAUAGUCUUAGGGGAGGGUUAAACCCCUUAGAGAAAGAAAGUAGUGAGAGAAAGAAGUGAGAAUGGUGUGAAAUUUCCAGAAGAAUUUGCACCCUUUUAUAGGCUUCACCAGCAUCGGUUACGCUGGGCAUCCAGCAGCGCGACGCUGGACGUGGCUCGGAUAAGCUUGCCAGCCUCGCACCAGCUGGCUCACACCUGCAUCGGAUGGAUAAGAAGCGAAGGUACGUUGGGCGUACCAACCUAAGACGCGUGGCGUAAUCACGAGGGCUACAUGGCAUGAUCUGAAGCGUGUUUCUUCAUUGGUGAUGGGCGACCCAUAUGCUGCCACGUCACCAGCUCCUCACCAUGCUUCGCAAAUUCAACUACAAACUUUAAAAUUUUGUAACUUUCGGGUACGAGCUCCGUUUUCAACGUUUUUUAUAUCCACACGAAGGCGGGAACGUACUCUACAACUUCUGUUAAGACUUCGUCCGCUAAUUUUGAAUUUAUUUGAAAAGUUAUAUUAUUAACAGGCCGGGACAUGAUUGGUUCGUUAAAUUCUCAUAGCUUCUUCAUCCGACGUCCGUUUUCAUCCAUCUUUUUCUCUUUACGCUACUAUUAAUGAGAUCUUCAAUUCUUGUUUAGGUUGUGUCGGCUAAACACCGCUCGAUCUACUAUUCGAAUUUCGGGUUGUACACUGCGGAGCUGAAACUUCGAAAAAUUAUAACUUCCUCAUACGAAGUAAGAUAUGGGCGCUCUUUUUAUGGAUGCUCUCGGUUUAAUGUAUUCUACAACAUUCAUUGAGGUUGCUAAGGCUAAAACUCGCUCUAUCAUAAAUUCACUAUUUACGCUUCCCAGUAUUAUGUCGGUUCCGCCGCGAAACUUCGACGUGUCAUAACUUCUUCGUUAUAACUCGGAUGUCAACGUUCUUUAUAUAUACGGAAACCUUGUAACCUAUAAUAAAUCUUGGUUAAGAUUAUUUAUUCUAAAUAAUAUUUUCCGAAAAGUCAUUUUCGACACUUAUUGCCUCUAGAUUGACUAGCCCGGAUGUACGGGCAUUACAAUUAUCUCUCCCUUAGGAUGAUUACGUCCCGGAAUCAUCAAUGAAACAUAGUAGUAUAAUGACUCCAUACAUUAUAUCUUCAUCCUAGCUAAUAAUUGUAUCUUCUAUGUUGCAUCAAACGAGUAUCUAACUCUUGGACUCCUUGACUGCAGGCGGUGCUCGAACUUGCGCCUGCUCGUUAUACUCUAAACAAUGACAUUCGAGUCAAAAUAUUGAUCCGUACUGGAGACUCCUUCUUCUUCUUCUUAACAAAUUUAUGAUAAGUUCUUUUAUUACUACAGUGGAUCGAUGUGUCAUAUUCUAAUGACCUAUCAUCGUAUGUUGCAACGCUUAGACUCAGGUCUCUUAGAGUCAAAUUCCAAAAUAGACUAUACCUUCCUUCGUAUUACAAUGUGAUUUAAUCACAUCUUAAAAGGUAACAUUUCUAGCUACAAGAAACUAUCGUGAUACCUCUAUUGGUCGCUUUGAUUAUCUCUUAUUCCAAUCUUCCGGCUUAAGUCAUAUGCUACAUCUAACUUGGUUCUCUGAACCAUGUAACAUACUUAUUGUAGUCGGACUCAAUUCGAUAUGACCACUAGGGUCGGAAUAACAACAAUCUUCUUAGUCAUUACUUAAACGAUGGUAACGACAUGCUCUAAUAAAACGGAAUAAAUUACUAGCUUCUUGGUAACCUUGUGACUUUCCCUGAUCUAAGCGCGAGUCUUGUGCUUCCGGUAGUAUAUGCAUCUACUACCUUUCGCACCUACUCGUACUUGUCCCAAGUAUUGUCUUGCAGUCCCCAAGUCACCAUUCAAGAAAAUCACAUAACAGUUUAACACACCAGAUAACAAAACGAAGACUGUAUUAUUUUUUGAAACUAUUACAUAGGUGUUCAAGUUUACCCUAGACUAUGCCUCUAAUAGGCUACAUCAUAUGAUUCUAUCCCCAUGGUUACUUCAUAACUUGAUCUUCCGGUAUGAAUUCCUCAUCCUUGGUUCCUCGCAUGGUUUUCUGCUUCGUCAAGGAUCAUGUGAAAUGCCCUUGGCCUUGGUGGCGUGUUUGGCCUUGCUGCCUCAUUUUUCUUUGGACAGUCCCAAUAAAUAUGCCCUUCUUUGUUACAUCCAUAACACACUUUCUUGUUGGACGCAUACUUGCUGUCGUAAUGCCCUGUCUUUCCAUAUUUGUAGCAAGUCACCUCCUCGCUACAUUUCCCGAAGUGCUUCUUUUUACACUUCUCGCACCACUUGGCUUCACCUCCUCCUCCUUUUUUAGUCUUUUCGAAUUUCCUUUCUUUGUUGGAUUUUGAAGAUCCUUCAUGCUUCCUUUUCUCGCUAACUUCAUCUCUCUCCAAACCCUUUUCCCUAAUCUGGGUCUCAAGAUUCCUGGUUGCCCAGAUGGCUCCUUUCAAAGUGGUUGCUUGCUUGACCAUUGGUCCAAAGUCUGCUGGUAAUCCAUGGGAAAACAUGUUGACCUUGGAGAGCUCAGUUGGAACUAGGUAAGGAACAAGGUUCAUUUUCUCCGUAAAACUAGUAGCAUACUCGGUGACACACAUCCUUCCCUUUUUUAUAUUUUGAAACUCAUUGUUGAUCUCCAGAAGAUCCUGCUCAGAACAAUACUACAAUUUCAGUUUUACCAGGAAAUCUUCCCAAAACAUCUUCCUUGCUUCUCCGUUGGGCAUCUGAUGUGACAUAAGAACAUGGUUUGGCAUGCGAAAUUAAAGUUUGCACAAUGAAAAUGGUGAUUUUAGUGUUCAAGAGAUAUAUAGAAUACGUAUGGUGUUACAAAAAGGGAUCUAGAUCUAGUCUACAUAAAUAACACACACUUACACACUUCACUUUUACACUUCUCAAGCACACCUCUACAAGUGGUAUGAACCCACUAUAUAUAGAGUAGUUUACAUGUCUAUCUCUCACUCUCUAAUACUCAUUAGUCAUAAGGCUAAUGCACCACAUGCAAGUGGGUCUACAAAAGUCAAACCAUCUACAAAGUCAUACAUGGCCCACUUCAAAUCUUCCAAAGUCGAGCAACUACGCGGUUCGAGCCUCAAAGGUGACACAUGUCGAAACAAACUUCAAUCUUCAAUUCUUCAAUGAUUCUUCAAUUUGGGCUCUAGGAUGUGAGACCAUACAAUCCGAGCAUCAACGAAUGAUUAAGAGCUUCUCAAACUCCAAAUAGUCACGCUAAAGUUGAGCAUAAAAACACACCCCAAAAAUCUUUAAUAAUUCCAAACCCAUUUCGAAAAUAAUUCAUUUCCGAACUUCUAAUUGCAUCAUUUCAUAAGCUUCAAAACUUCAAGAUCAUUUCGGUCUUCAAAUCCGCGUAAUAUGAAAAAUUCAAGUUCGAAUUUCCAUAUAAAUUUCUCCCCCGUUUUAUAAUCGAAAUUUGAUUAUCAAACUUUCAAGAAAAGAGAACGUGCUCUAUUCGAAUUUUUUCGUGUCAAAACUCGCCCUUAACAUGUGGCAUAAACUUUGUGUUUCAAUCCGAAAAACCCAAAAAUAUUCAAUUUUUAGCUUCAUUCACGGAUCACCUUUGACAAAAUUUCUUAAAAAAUGGGUAGAAAUUGUCAAUUUCAAAAUUCUGCAGUGAUCCGUUCUGCCCAAAACAACAAAAUAUGCAAAACUCUCCCCCUUUUUCAAAGUUGGGUAGAAAGCAUCAAUUUGCACAAAUUGCAGGGGCCUGAAAUGCAUUUUCUUCAAUUUUCAGCAAAAACAGUCCUUUUUCGAAUUUGGGUAUGAACAGCCAAACAUUCGAAGCCUCAGGGACUAUUUUCAAAAAUUCUUCCCUUUGUGCUCAAAUCAUACGAAGAAUCACCCCAAACAUACGAAGCUUCAAAAAUUUUCGAAUAUGGAUGAAAAGUGUUAAACAUACGAAACUUGGGUUAAUUUUCUAAGUGCCAAAUAUUAGAAGGUAAAGGGGCAGAAUUCAAAUUUUUUUUUUCUUUUUGGUUAAAUCAUACGAAAACUUUGAUCGGUCAUACGAAGGGUUUUGAAAAGGUGCCAAACAGUCAAAAUUUCAGGGGCCAUUUUUGUAACUUUGAGUUUCUUCCCCAAUACCCCAAUUCGUACGAAUCCAACACCAUAUUAACGAAACUUCUGUUCUUCAUCAAAACAAACGAAAUUUUGCCUUCCCAAUUUCCUUUCAAAUGUACGAAACUUUUUCUCUCUCCCCUUCGUAUGAAAUCAUUUGUCCAUUUUCUGUCUCCUCUUCGUAUGAAAUUUAUCACAUGAACGAAAUUUUUCUCUAAUUAACGUAAUCUUGAAUCAGAUUAACGAAAUUAAAGCAUGUCGAACGCUUAACGGUGAACAGUGACCUCUUAAUCAUUCAUUCACUGAAUCGACAUCCGUACUUUAUUUCUUCGUUCGUUAUCAGUUGCUGAUUUCAUCCCCAAAAUCAUCUAUUCUUCAAUCGAAUCCAGUCAUUACUGGUAUCUUUCCAACAUCAACAACAACUGUUCGUCAAGCAUCAAUAGCCUUCGCAUAUAAACAUCAUCGUCACCCACCUGUUCAUCAAUCGACUCUAACUUUCGCUUUUUCAAAAAUCAAAGUUUUUGACCAUUUGAUUCGUUCUCAAAUCAACAAUAGAUAUCAAAAACUUCCAAGCCGUCUCGUUCCCAAUCGAUGCCUGUAAAUAAACGAACAUUGAUCCUUUGUUCUUCAUUAUUCAGCAACAAGUCACAAAAUCAACGAUUCUUGACCUAACUCAUGAUCAAUUCCAAAUUAACGAACAUAGACUCCAACCUUUCGAAAUCAACAAUCAAAGUUCGUUCCAUGCUUUAAGAGAUUGUUGACAACAACCAAUCGAACCCAAAUUUCAGAUCAUGUAGUCGAAACCAAUCGAAAAUUGAUCCCAGUCACUCCCCAAACUUUCAUUCUUUUCCCCAUCGUAAUUACAAGUCGACCUUGACAUCCAGUUUUAUACUUUCGAAACUUUAAUCUCUUUAUCUACCCAUUCCAUACACAAGUUCGACUUUCAAAUCACGUUCAAGAAGCAAAAACGAAGAAGAUUCAACAUUCAUUUCAGUUCGUCACUUUGACAUCAAGAACAACAACAUCGACGAAGAUUCGAAAUUAGACUAGAUUUCGACUCUUUCAACAUGAAAACAACUUGUAAUUAUCAAUUUCAUCAUACAUUCAUCGAUUCAUCUCUUGAAUUCCAACUUUUUCACAGUUUGACUUUUCAAAAUCAAAGAACCAUAAGCACGAAAUUGACGAUUCCAUCAUCAAAUUUCAGUUCAAUACAUGUUUAAUCACAUGCUCUAAACCUCCUUCAUGAGUUCUUGGUCAAGAUCAUCAAAAUCAAAGAAACAAUUUUCAAUUUCUAAGUCUAAAAUCGAUUUCAUCAUUUACAUAUUAUCUGAAUCAAUAUCUAAACUCAGAUUAACAAUCAAUAAAAAUGAUUAUUAGAGAUGAAGGAAUGAAAUUGGGAAUCAAAAACAAUCGAUUAAUGAACAGUCGAUGAACGAACAACAGAUGAAGAAUCGGAAAUAAACUUGGACCAAAUGUACAACUCGGUAAUGCGAGCGUACAAACUGUUCAAUAUCAAUUAGUAUCCGAUACGAAUUAAGUCGACGUAUUCUGAUUACAAUCAACCUUAGGAAUGUAAAUUGGGCUUUAAAUUGAUUUGUGAAUAGUAACGAACAAAACUUGGAUCAAUUGGGCUCGAAGUUUGAAUAAAAGAUGAAUAGUAACUGGAUUUUACAUUUUGGAUUCGAAAUGAUUAACCGAAUAUUAAUUGGAAUACGAAAUUGAUUGGGCUCAAUGAUUUUUGACAUGAACAGUAUUCAACUUUAUAUUUUGUUGUUUUGAUUGGAUUUGAUACAAAAAAAUUAUUGGAUCAUCAAUGGGGUUUUUCAAGAAAAAUUUGAUCCAAUGAGUCAAACGAUCACAAAUUAAAAAACGUAACGCAUGAAUUCAAAUAAAUUAAGAGAUAUCAUAGAAAGAGAGACACACACCAAAAUUGCUCCAAUUGUGACAGAUUUUGCCAAACCGAGAAUCGUUCUUCAAAAGUCACGUUGAUCGUGAAAACCAAGUUCUGAUACCAAUUGAUGCGACAUAACAACAUGGUUUGGCAUGCUAAAUUAAUGUUUUCACAGUGAGCAUGGUGAUUUGGGUGUUCAAGAGAUAUAUAGAAUAUGCAUGGUGUUACAAAAAGGGAUCUAGAUCUAGUCUACAUAAAUAACACACACUUACACACUCCACUUUUACACCUCUCAAGCACACCUCUACAAGUGGUAUUAACCCACUAUAUAUACAGGUGUUUACAUGUCUCUCACUCACUCUCUAAUAUUCACUAGUCAUAUGGCUAAUGGACCACGUGUAAGUGGGUCUACAAAAGUCAAACCAUAUACAAAGUCACACAUGAAGAACUUUGCACCCCAACAGCAUCGUGUUAGCUAGUAGCUUCCCCCAGCUCAGUACUCUAGAGUUUAACAGAGGGAUCGCGAGAGCGGUCUUAUGUUUGUUGCUACACUCGCAACUCUCAAACAUUGUCUUCAUCUCGGAGAUCUAGUCCAUAACUUCCACCGGUGUUGGGCUUCCAGAAACAUAUGGUGGUUUGAAUGCCAUGAAAUCCUUGUACUUACAUCGACGUCCGUCAUUUCCUCCAUCCUAAUUGUUUCAUCUAACUAUCGGUGGGUUGGCUUGGCCAACCGUCCCACUGUAGUUUCCUCUUUCUGAUUGCCCAUCAUUCAGCUCGGGCUGUUCAAUAGGCAACGUAAGUUCCUCUUGAUUUUGUUGAAGUAAAUGCAUUGUUUCCUCCAUCUGACAACCCAACAUCAUUUGGAUCGUCGCUUGUACCCCGACCAUCGUGAUUGGCUCAGGUGCGGUUACUGUUGGAUUAAUGUCUAAGUCCAUAACUAUAUUUGGUAUGUAUUUGACCCGACCCGGCAUGGCCCAUUUGGGUUGCACUUCACCAACACAAUUUAUAUGGAUAGUCUUUUGAGAAUAGUAUAUUUAUGAUGUAUAUCAGUAUAUUAUAAGUUCUAAUAUAUUAAUAUGGAAUCAUAUUAUUUAAUUAGUAUUGAUCAAGAAUUAAUUUAGAAAGUGAUCAAAAUGAACUAAUUAAAUAUGGACUCUUAUAUAUAUGGAGUGGGCCAAGUUCAUUUAGGUUGGGCUAAGCUUUCAUGGAUAGUCCAUUGAGUGUUUAACCCAUGGAUCAUAUGAAAUCAAAGGUCAUGGGUUUAACCCUAGUCUCCAUACUAUAUAAAGAUGUCAUUGGUUGGUGAAAUUGAUACGAGUGUGGGUACACUAAGCGGGCUAGCCGAUUUCACUAGAGAGAACCAAAGUAUUCUUAUUCUCAAAGUCUUCCAAGGUGUUUUGGUGAUUUGUGACUCCACUUGAGGCUUCCACACUAUUGGGCGCUACACCAAAAGGUAUGUCAUCUAACUAGUCUUUGUAGUAUAGUUGCCUCAUAUUAUGCUAGUCUUUGUAUUGUAAGGAAAAGUUUUUCCGCAUUUUAAAAUAAAUAAAAGUUUGUUUUACUUUAAUUUUAUCUCCUUACAAUAGCAUUCAUGAAAACUUAAUAUUUGUAUGUUUAUAGCAAUAUUCGAAAUAUGAAUUUGAUUCCUUCAUUUGUGGUAGUGUCUAAAUUUACCAAACAAGGAAAGAUUCUCAUCAGCCAAGUUUCAAUUCGACCGAAACUUGGAAUCAUACAAUGUGCUUAGUGUGAUGUAUGAGAAUUUUCAAAUUUGGAAAAUUAAGACUAGUUCUCUGUUCACAUGUAUAUGUGACUCAAGAGAAGGACUAAGGGAUCAAGUAAACAUUCUUAUGCACUUGUAAAAGUCCACCACAAAAGAUGGAUAAGACUAUUCGUCAUGAUUUACUAAGGUUUAGUAAAUAUGAUUAUACUUACAAGCUUAAGAAUCAUUCUGAGACAUUGGAAGAGUUUCAAUGUCUGACAGAACGAAUAAGAAGAAUCAAAUUAGGCAGAAGGAUACACGUUUCUCAAAUCUAAAAAGAUGGGAGAGUACUUUAGUAUCAUGUUUUAAGAUCAUCUUAAUGAUUUUGAGACCUUAUCACAAUUCAUCCUCUAAGUGCAUUAUGAUAGUUAAGAAGAGGAGUUAUGAAUUGUUGAAGUGGUUAAAUCAAGAAGAUGAUUUAUACUUCGUUCCAAAAACAAUUCAUAGAGUUAUACUCUAAGAUUGUAACUUGAGUGACAUGUCUUAAAGAAGGUUUAAAACACUUGUCAAAUGUAAGAGUAAAAGUUUUCUACUCUUGUACAUUUGAAAUUGGUAAGUUGUGAUGUUUUGGAUAAAACAAAGACCAACUANGUUAAGUGUCUAUCUUGAUUAGAAUCCACACUAUCUCUUGAAUAUUUGGCAAGAAAGUCUUAUAGGUUAAGGAGACAGUGGGAGUCUAAAAGAUCCUAAAAGGGUUUCAAGAAGUAAUCAUGUAUUUGAUCACUAGAAUACAACUAGAGGUUUAUAACCUAUCUUGUUGACAUUUCUAUGCCUAUUCCAGUUAAUUUGGCUAUACAUUUGAGUUCUACAUGUUAUCAAUGGUUUGCAUAGCUACUUGGAAGCAAUGGCAGCCCUUGAGCUGCCAGGUGGCAAGAAGUUAAGAUUGCACAAGGUCAAUCCAUAUGAGUUGGGAUUUGCCACUAACCUAGUCUUGUGAUUAUGGUUUGACAAAUUCACAUGGAUAAGAACACAUAUACCAUAAAAUCUAAGUGUCAUAAUGUUUUCUCUUCGAUUCAUGAAAAUGAUGGUAAGGAAACUCGUUCACUAAGUAGAUUUUAAGUAGAUAGCAAUUGUAACUUUUGCAGUUCUCAAAGUCGUUAGUGGAGCGUGUGUGGUUAACCGACACACUAACAUUGACUUAUGAGGAAUGGAAAAAGGUCUAAACAAUUGAGACUAUGAUUACGACAUCCCUUUUCAUAGUUCUGAAAUUGUUUAAGACACACCUGUGAGCUAUCUAGGAUAAGUUGUAUAAUUUUGAUAAAGUCUUAUCAAAGCAAUCUAGUAUCAGAAAUGUAAACUUUGGUAAGAAUGUCAAUAAAGUAUUGACUUCUAGAGGUCCAACUGUUUUCUGGGUACAUGUCAAAGCUAGUGGGAGCAUAAGUGCUGUGCUAAUAAUCAUCAUGUUAGUGGGAGCAUGAUGAUUAUGGUAAGUAUUGCAAGUUAGCAAUGUUAAUUAUAGAAAACAAAAGUUUCAAUUCGUGAGGUUGCAAGGGUUGAAAAAGUUGUUUUGCUAUAAUUAAGGGAGAGGAAAUUAUGCUUCAUUUCAAUUAUAAAAAUUUUAGAAUUGAAAAAGCUUAGAUUGAGUUUAUAAUCAUUCUAAAGAGCUUAUAUUAAGGUUUUAAUCACCUUUAGUCAAGAAUAUAUAUAUGAAUUUCAUGUUAGAUUGGUUCAACUUAAGAAAAUUCUAUAUAUUGCAUUCUCAAAAUUCGAUUAUGAUUACGACAUCCCUUUUCAUAGUCAAAUUUUGAGAAUAUGGCAAACAAAAAUUAUUAUGGAAAAAGACUGGUCUAGAACCAUGUCUUUAUGUGAAACAUCAUGAAUCGUGUCCCAUUUACUUUGGGUACAAGAUCGAUUACAUGUGAUAUAAUAUUUAUCUUUUCUGAAUUUCCAAAUGCCUUGGGGCAUUAAGGAGGAAAAUGUCGAGAAUUAGAUAUUACUAAAGUAAUUAAGCAAUUGUCGAGGACAAUCUAAGGUUUACCAAAGAUUGGUUGCUAAAGGACAGUUGGAAGUAUAUUGUCAAUAUUGGAAGGACCAUAUUGACAUAGUCUGAAAAGCGGCAACUUUUGUUCAUAAAUGAUAGUCAAAAUGGGAAUAUAGAGUUGUCUUCAUAGGUGGAAGCCAUCUGUGUAAGGUUAAAGAAACUUACUGCAAGAAGCAUGUUCAAAGCAAUGUGCUUUAAGGUUGACACAUCGUUUCCAUUGAAUUUCUCUCCAUUGGAAUAGUCUGUAAUGAUUGUUGCCAAGUCUUUGUGGCUUUGUGCAUAAUCAUUACAAGAGGAACAGUGCAUAUAACUUUAAAAAUCUGAAAAGAUUUCGAUAAAUGAUAGGAAUUUGAUAUUCUUACAUUUUCGAUAAGGAUUUGGGAGUGUGAAAAGAGAAUCAUUGAAAUUAUGUUCAAUGGAUCUAGUUCACAAAGAAAAGGAUCAUAGACAAACAUAUAGUUCAUACUUGGUGUAUGGCAAAGCUAUUGUUUAGAAAAACAUAGUGUACAUGCUUGGAGCAUGGGAUACCUAGUGUUUUAAUUCAAGUAUAAAGUUGAUAAAACCGAAACAAUGAAUAAUGAGUAAUCAGUAUGGUGAUAAAUAAAAGUGGUUUAUUUAUAUUCAUAGGUUUUCAUACCAUAUUAGAUUCAUUUAUUCUUGUGUUUCACUUUGCAUGUUUUGACUUCCAUAAUGGCUAGGUUAUUCUUCCGGAAUGACUAAGUUAUUCAAACCAUCCACAGUCGGUCAUAUGUUGGAAGUGGAUAUGAAUUAAGACUGUAAUGGGUUGGCUUGUAGAGGUUCAAGUUGUGGGACACAGUUGUACUACAACACUCAUGAGUGCUCAUAAUUUCUGAGUAUUGGAUUCAACCCGCGCUUAUUUGAAUAACUUCAUGGAUUUUAUCACGAGUGAUCAUGAAACGAUAAUAUCUUAUAUUCUUCAAACCUAGAUAUAUGAGUUGUUACUAUGAGUUGAUAGUACAUUGAUUGCACGG